rnacentral:rRNA from 1 species
UACGUAGGGUCCGAGCGUUGUCCGGAAUUAUUGGGCGUAAAGAGCUCGUAGGCGGUUUGUCGCGUCUGCUGUGAAAUCUAGAGGCUCAACCUCUAGCCUGCAGUGGGUACGGGCAGACUUGAGUGGUGUAGGGGAGACUGGAAUUCCUGGUGUAGCGGUGGAAUGCGCAGAUAUCAGGAGGAACACCGGUGGCGAAGGCGGGUCUCUGGGCCGAUACUGACGCUGAGGAGCGAAAGCGUGGGGAGCGAACAGG